rnacentral:rRNA from 1 species
CUGAAUAAAACCCAUCGUUUAUAACGCAGCAGUGAGGAAUCUUGGUCAAUAGCCUAACGGCUGAACCAGCAAUUUGGAGGAAUGUAUAGCAAUAGCUAGUUGUAUAGUAUUAUACAAUAUCGACUAGGUUGAAUAAAGUUCUGAGUAAAGUUAGAUAAUGACUUAGUUUACUCACGUGUCUUGACUAAAUUGCGUGCCAGCAGUCGCGGUAAGACGUAUAAGACUAGUGUUAUUCAUCUUGAGUAGGUUUAAAGGGUACUUAGACGGCAGACCAAGCCUAAGCAGGGACUAGUUUGCUAGAGUUACUUAUGAUGGGGCUUGAAAGUACUAAUGGAGUAGAGAUAAAAUGCUACUAUACCUUUUUUCGAAAGAACUGCAAUGGCACUGGUAAAGGCGAAAGCAUCCCCUAAUGUGAUAACUGACGUUAAAGGACGAAGGCUUUGGAUCGCGAACAGGAUUAGAUACCCUGGUAGUCAAAGCAGAAAAUGAUGAGUGUCAUAGAUUGGAAUAAGUUUAAUCUAUAAAUGAAAGUGUAAGCACUCCACCUUAAGAGUAACGUGGCAACACCGAAAUUGAAAUCAUUAGACCGUUUCUGAAACCAGUAGUGAAGUAUGUUGUUUAAUUUGAUAAUCCGCAAAAAACCUUA